UUGAAUCAACCCUGCAUCGCUGGGAUUAAGCCUACUUGAUCAUGGUGGAUGAUGUUUCUUGGAUUCUGUUUGGCUGCAGGACCAGACAGACAGAAACCUCCAUUUGCAAAUGGCACCCAACAUGAGGCAUAAACCCACAACCCUGGGAUUAAGAGUCCCAUGUUCUAGCUGGGCCUUGCGUCUGCAGAUCCUGCAUGGUGGCUGGUUGAACCAAGUGUCCACUCACUGCUGCCAAUCCUUGUGGAAGUGGGUCUUCAGGAUCAUGACAUUCCGGCUGGGCACCAUGGCUGCCUCCUGUGCAAGAGAACG
rnacentral:lncRNA from 1 species